UUACAAAAUACCUCUGAACGAUAUACAAAUGACAAAAUUAAUUGAGUUUAAUUAUUAUUAUAAACACCUUUUUCAAGAUAAUCUAUAGAGCUAUAGGCUAUAAUGACAGUUAUCCGUGAUUCGUAGAUUCGAUCGCUAACUAUAAAAAAUAUAAUUAUUCCUUCUUUUUUUUUUUUCUUUCAUUAAUUCUUACAAGAAGAUAAUUUGCCCCACUGCAGAACAUGCCCAUGAAAUCUUAUCUAUACUUAACACAGUUUCUAAACUUAUC